GUGAAAUUAGGUUAAUGAAGAAAGAAUAUUUCUGCCAAAUUCAGUAGAUUUUUGGGUUCUCACAUCCAAUGCAUAAGGAAGGUAUUAGCUGAUGCCCAAGUGGCUGCUCUGCAAAUGCUAUCAGUUGGAGUGUUAGUUGCAGCUGCUCAAGAAGAUGGCGUUGAGCUAGUAGAGUGUGCCCUCAACCCAGAUGAAACGGGAACUAAUUAAGCCUGAUAAGCAGCCGAAAUAGCCAAAGUGAUCCAUCUACUUAGAGUUGACUUUAAAGCUGGCAUUCCCCUGUUAUGACCUGAAAAGUUUACAAAAAGCCUGGAAGAUUGUCUCUACUCAGCAGUUUUAGAUAAAUAAAUAGUAAGACAUCUGGCAACAUCAAGCGGGUGCCAUAUUUCCUCUUCUUGAUUCCUGGCAUCUUGAAAAAAGUAAGGCAAUAUAAUCUCCUCAUUAAGAUGGAAAUUUGAGAUUACCUUUGGCCUAAAUUCCGGAAUUGUUCGAAGAACC